AGCGAACGCUGGCGGUAUGCUUAACACAUGCAAGUCGAGCGCGAAAGUGACUUCGGUCAUAAGUAGAGCGGCGGACGGGUGAGUAACACGUGGAUAAUCUGCCUUUAGGACUGGGAUAACCCUGGGAAACUAGGGCUAAUACCGGAUAAGACCACAGGUUCCAUGGAACCAGGGGUAAAAGGCGGCCUUCGGGCUGUCGCCGAAAGAUGAGUCCGCGUCCCAUCAGGUAGUUGGUGAGGAACGGCUCACCAAGCCGAAGACGGGUAGCCGACCUUAGCGGGUGAUCGGCCACACGGGGACUGAGACACGGCCCCGACUCCUACGGGAGGCAGCAGGUGGGGAAUCUUGGGCAAUGGGCGCAAGCCUGACCCAGCAAUACCGCGUGAGGGAUGAAGGCC
rnacentral:rRNA from 1 species